UAGACACAGGAGCAAUGGAUUCACUUAAAAGCAAUAGCUCCUUUCCUCUUGAAUAGUUUACCAGCUCAUAUAACUUGGGAACCCAUGAUAAAUCCAUCAAACAGAAGAUUAAAAUUACUAGUCAGGGUAAUAUCAACAAGUACAAUAGCAGAGAAGCAUUUAUGUUGGACCAUUUAAAACAUCCGAAAGCAAUUACAUCAAAUUGAGGGUCAUGUCAACAAGUCAGUCCAACAUGAGAAAAACUGCAGUCCAGCAAACCUCAAAUGCGGAAAACUGAAAUUCAGUACACCAGAGUGAUACCUCGUAUAUAUAGAAGAAGAAGAGACUAGUUUUUGAAAACCUUAGCAACUUCUUAUUACGAUCUUAAACAUAUUUCAUCAACCAUCCAACGAAAGGACCAAAUUCUACCACAAAUUACAAAAAAAAAAUUAAAAAU
rnacentral:lncRNA from 1 species